GGAGGCGGGGUAGACAGCCAAUGGGGGAGUUUGGGGCGGGGCUGGUGGUAGGAUGGCGGCGGCCAUGGUGAGCUCGGCGGAGCGAGCGGUGCUGGAAGAAGAGUUUAAAUGGCUGUUACAGGAAGAGGUCCAUGCUGUUUUGAAACAGCUGCAGGAUAUUUUGAAGGAGGCCUCCCACAGGUUCGCCCUGCCAGCGGGGGGCUCGGAAGGAGCAGCCAAGCAGGAGAGCUUCGUGCUGAGUGUGGCAGGCAUGGACCAGGUAAAAGGUGUGUUGACACUGCAAGGAGAUGCCUUGUGUCAAGCUGACCUUAAUUUGAAAAUGCCCAGAAGUAAUCAGCUCCUGCAUUUUGCAUUCCGGGAAGACAAGCAGUGGAAACUGCAGCAGAUCCAGGAUGCUAGAAACCAUGUUAACCAAGCAAUUUACCUGCUUAUGAACAGAGAUGUAAACUACCACUUCAAGACAGGCUCAGAGGUUCUCAAGCUUAUGGAUGCUGUGAUGUUACAGCUCUCAAGAGCACGGAAUCGACUCACCACUCCAGCCACUCUGACUCUACCAGAAAUUGCCUCCAGUGGUCUCACAAAAAUGUUCAGCCCUGCUCUUCCUCCAGACAUCCUUGUGAAUUUCUAUAUAAACCUGAAUAAGCUGUGCCUGACUGUCUACCAACUCCAUGUGCUACAGCCCAGCACGACCAAGAACUUCAAGCCUGCUGGAGGAUCCAUCCUGCACAACCCUGGAGCCAUGUUUGAGUUCGGCAACCAGCGGUAUGAAGUCAGCCAUGUCCAUAAAAUGGAGUCCGUUGUCCCAUGGUUAAAUGAUGCCCUUGUCUUCUUCACAGUUUCACUGCAGCUUUGCCAGCAACUGAAGGACAAGAUUUCAGUUUUCUCCAGUUACUGGAACUACAAGCCAUAUUAAUUCCCUGUGGACCUUCCGAACCCUUAAAACACUUCCAGUGUCUCCCUGUUUGUUUUCUGUGUGCCAGUUGAGUCCAGGUCAGCCUGUGAGGAGUGCUGUGAUUCGUUUACCACCUCAUGGUCCUCUUCAGGGUAGGGUCAAUGGACCUGGAGGCACAUGUCUGGUAGCCUUGUCUGGGAAUAAUGCAUGAGCAGGGCACCAAGCAAUACUGUGUGGUUGGUGGGAGCUUCCACCUGUCUUCAUUGUGUGGUUUAUGCUUUGCCAACCUCUGAUAAACAUCAGUCCCUUACAAGGGAUGGGGAGCUGUGGAUCAACCACGUUCAGUAACAGUAUUUGCACACAGUGCUAUCACUAACUGCUGGACUGUGAGCUGGUUGGGAAGGGGUGAAAUUAGACUCAUCUAACACACCACCAAAAGUGCAUGGCAUGUUGGUCCAGCUGCAGUUAUGACUAGUUCAGCUUUUCUCUCCAAUCUGUUCUGGCCAUACCCGUGUUACUGAUUCCCCUUUGAAGAUAUUGUUACUUGCUACUAUUUGAGCUUUUUUUCCUUGGCAUCAAUGUGAUCAUCUGUAUUAUUUAUUUUUCCUAAACCCCAGUCCAGCCACUUGGUUUUUUUCCAGGUGUGGUAUCUCAUUUUCAUUGCCAGCUUUUGGAGCUGCCUUGGUACCUUGAACACAGCUGUGCAGUCUCACAUCCUGUCAUUAAACUCAAAUCAUGUUUUGAAGUGGCUGUAUGUACUGUGACUGGAUUGAGUUGGCUCUUGGAGCUGACUGGCUAUGUUGGAGAAGCAUUGCCUAUCUCCUGCUUGGCAGCUACUCACCCUGUCCAGCCUGUGUUUCUGAUGGGUUUCAUCACUGGAGGACCUUACCCAGGAGCCUAGAUGUGUGCUGAGGUCCUCCCAGAUAUACUGGUCCAAAAUAUGGUGGGCUGUCAUGCCCUGGAGACGUCGUCCAGUUCCCCCUCAGAUUUGGACAGCAAGAGGAAGCUUUCUGGUUGGCCUUGGCUACACAAUGAGAACUCAGUUUGCUGUGCUACCUCCAAUCUGCUAUGCUGAUGCCUUUCCCCAUCAGAAAAGCAAGAGCAAAGCUUUGCCUGUGCAACAUUUUCUUUGUUGUGUGCUCACAGGGUGGUACCAGCAGGUCCCUGCUGCAGGCUGACACCAGGCUAGAAGGACACCAUCACACCACUGAGAGAGAGAUGGGGUGUCCAGCUGAAACCUUGCUGUGUCCAGCUUGGGUAAGAUCUGGGGAGAAAUUGUGUCUCAGCAAGAACUUCCAUGGUGUCGAUACAACUCUUGCUGCAUAGAGCAGCCAUUCCUCACAGACUGUCAUGGCUAAGCAUGUGCUGCACAGAUGUGCUGCACUUCUCUGUGCACGCAGACCUGUUCCUUGGUUGUCCUCUCAAUGGUUUGUUGCACACAUGCAUCAUGCUGGGAGCACUGAGGUGUGCAGAAGAACACAGGCAUCCAUGCAGUGUAUCCGAGGGGGAGGCAGUUCUUUUUGCUGGAAAUCUCUCAAGAAAUUGGAAUUGUUUGUCCUGACUGCUGUGAAUAGCUAAGAGUACAAUGUCUCCCUGCUUCUCAUCACUUACAGUCUAAUUAGAGCCCAAUUCCACUGCCAUUCAAACUGAGCUGUCAGCUCAGGCAAAUGAAUGUUUUACCUCUAAGCUUCUUAUCAGCAGAGUCUGUAAUUCACCUGGAAGAUAUUCAUGUGUGCCAAUUCACUGCCUGAGGAAUGGAAUGACGUUUGUCUCAUUGCUGGGCUGCUGAUUAUGAGAGCUGGGAUAAGGGCAGUGGCAGCAGGGAAGGCAAAUACAUUUGCCCACUUGGCUGGCUAGAAGCCUGAGUGGUUUACAGGCAGAUGAAAGGUUACACAGGGAGACUGAAUGGGACACUGAAAGCUUGGUAACACAGGGAGACACAGGGAGUCUGAAAGCUUGAAUGGGCAAAGAGACAAUCUGAUGCAUUUAUUUGUUGAGUGAUUAGGUAGAUAUAAAUGGACACGAGCGAGACCUCAGUUAAGCAGCUGAUGAAAAUUGUUUUGUUGUCUGGCAAAUGGCCCUGGGAACAAAAAUGAUUUGUGCUCCAAAAGGAAACAUGGACUCCAAAAUGUUGGAGCUGGUGCAGGAGGCACUCCUUGGCACCUGAGCUGUAAAAUCACUCGGCAUCUUGAUGGAUCUCCUCAGUCUGCUCUCUCCUCCCUGUGUUCCUGUUGCUGGUCCAGCUGUCACUUUGUCACAGAUUUGCCAUCUUCCCCACUGCGUGUUGGGACUGGGACUCCCUCUUUGCUGGACAUCCCCAGGAGAGCAUGGAGUACUUUUGGCAGCUGCAGUCACAGGGUGUUGGGAAGUGUAAGGCAGAUGCAAGAGCAGUUUCUCCUUUUUUUUAAGUAGAUCAUCAGGUUCUGUACUUUGCAGUGGUGUGGGCAAUGCUGCUCAGGUUAUCAGUGUGGUCAGCCAUUUCCCUGAUGCUGUGUGGAAGGAGGGAGGAGGUUUGCUGGAGGUUGCUGCUGGGCUGGUUUUGGGGUCAAAUCCUGCAUAGGGAGUCAGGCCAUAAGUGAAGAAAACAGGAAGGGAAUGUAAACUUGCAUAUGAAUGCAUGAAAAGGGCCACAGAGCCACUCGGUGCCUUUCUGUUCAGGUUAUCUGCCCACCAGAUGUUAUUCCUAGACCUAAGCAUGCUCCAGAGAGCCUGGUGGUCUGACAGCAGAUCCUGCUCCCCUGCAAGCCUACAGUGGCAUGAACUCCUACAAGGACCAUCACUGAGGCUGAUUGAGCUUUCCUCUGAGAAAGCUUUGGACGUGAACUUGAGCACUUCCACGGGCAGGGUGGAGGAUUUGCUGCCAAUUAUAAUGACUGUCACCUUGCCAGAGAGAAGAAAUGCACCCAUUCUAAGUCAGAACACGUGCAACUUCUGUUUUCCAGCUAGAUCUGAGAUUCCAACCUGCAAAUGGGGCUUCUCUGUUUUUGCUAGCACAAAGAGGCGGUGCAUGUCUGGACUGAAUGCCAAAUACCUGCUUCUUUCCAGCCUGCCAAGUGAGCGGGGAGAAGAAGGGUCUCCAUCACAAGCAGUAUUCACUCAUUCUCACUGAUUCUCCCUUUCUAGUGAUGAUCUGUGGCACAGUCAUUUUAAUGGGGUUUUAACCCAUGUCUUGUGCAUUAUUCUGAUUUUGUAUUGUUCUGGCCUUUUAAUCAAGCACUCAGGCAUGGGACAGUGCCAAUCAAAGGGGGUUAUAGAAAAUAGCUUUCAUCAAGGUCACUUGAUAUUUUUCAGUACAGGAUAUUUCAUGUCAGAAGACAUCUGUAAAAGCUCUGUUCUACCAUUGUGUGGCAGUAAUCAAUGAAUCUUAUUUUAGUUUUUCCAUCAUUCUGCUGAUGCCUGUCUAAAAGCAUAGCUGGACUGUAGAAUCAUCAAAUCAUUCAGAUUGGAAAAGACCUCUAAGAUCAUCUCAUCCAACCAUCCACAUACCACCAAUACUGCCCACUAAACCACAUCCGUGAGUACCACAUCCACAUGGUUCUUGAACACCUCUGGGGAGGAUGACUGCAUUACCUCCCUGGGCAGCUUGUGCCAAUGCUUGAGCACUCUUUUGGAGUGGAAAUUUUUCUUAAUAUCCAACCUAAACAUCCUCUGGAACAAUUUAAAGCCAUUCCCUCUCAUCUUAUUGCUGUUACCCUGGAGUAGAGGCUAUCCUCCACCUUGCCACAACCUCCUUUCUGAGACUUAUAGAGGCAAUAAGGUCUCUCUGAGCUUUCUCUUUCCAGCUGCUCCUCCUGAAUGGACUGUGUGCCUGUGCUGUGUGUGGCUUGUCUCCAGUACUAGUGCUGAGGUAGUGUUGGCAUGUGGGCAUUGCUGGAAGGAGGUCCCAGUGGACCUGAUUAGGGACAGCUCUGUGCAGAGAAUGGGACGAGCUGCGUUGGGUUGGCUUGUGGACAAGCUGGUGCCUAUUGGCACUGGGUUGUGGUGAAAACAGAGGUUCCCAUCCCAAGGAGUAUUGGUGCUGCUUGGAAAGGAAAUGUUUUGUGCUGAGAAAGUCAAGGGGAUACUGCUGUUUAAGCCUGGUCUCAGGCUGGUCCCCUGGCCUGUCUGCCUGGGGACAGCAGGCUUUGAUCCAGCACUUAGAGGAGUGAAGAAGGCUCCUCCUGUCAAAGGGAAGAGGCAAACCUACAAAGAAGUAUUUAAUGCACCUGAGUUCCUGAUAACUCUCCAGUCAAUGUAGCAGCUAACCUGAGGAGAGUCUGGAGUCCCUGAUGGGAUGGCUCUGAAAGUGUGAGGGCUGCAGAAGAGUGGGAGCUGCCUUUGGCAUGCGGCUUUUCCCUAGAGAGAAAGGAACUGAGGCAAAACCAAGGACUGGUGCUGUAGGGAGCAGCAGGAGGUGCGACUUUUGUAUAAGUACAUCAGCAUCAGCCCUCAGAUUGGGCUCUGAAGCUGUCAGAGUGACCAUAGAUCUUUGGGGCAGUAGACGUUUUGUGUCAGGAAGUGGAGCAGCACUUCUGAACGCCCAAAACAUCCCCCCCAAAAAGGGAUUUUGAGCAUGCAGUCUUGAAGUCUAGAGCUUCCUUGCCUCUGAGCAUUGCCAGCUGUGAUGUGUGAGGGUGGUGAGGCACUGGAACAGGUUGCCCAGGAGGCUGUGGAUGCCUCAUCCCUGGAAGCAUUCAAGGCCAGGCUGGAUGUGGCUCUGGGCAGCCUGGGCUGCUGGUUGGUGACCCUGCACACAGCAGAGGGUUGGAACUGGAUGAGCUGUGGUCUUUUUCAACACAGGCCAUUGUAUGAUUCUAUGAUGGAAACUGCUCCUUCUCCACGCCAGACUCUGUGCCCAGUGGCAGCAGUUCUUGCUGGUGCCAGUGCUUACAGGAGAGAGUCAGAUUGUUUUAACUGUGCAUUUAGCUCUACUCCAGCUUGAAAAUUAUCACCUUUAAAGUAAGCUUAAACUAAGAUCAGGGCUGUUCUAGAUUUAGCUACUGGCUUGGGCAGUUGCCAGCUGGGAGCCAUUAGCAGGAGCAGGAAGGACGGUGUGGGCAGGAAGCUGCACAGGACACCACACCAGGAUUUUGUUGUCUACCACAAAGCCAGGUCGAACACUUCAUUAGAAGCAAACUGUGCCAUGUUCUAAUAUUAGCAAAUGUGCAAACAGCUUGCUCUGUCCGUUGCUGCUGUGCAGGCUGUGCCUUUGGCUCAGGCAUCCAGUGCUUGUAUACAUUUAAACAUCCCUUGAAAUACGUGUCUUUAUCUGUGAGGGCCCAAUACAAGGAGAAUCCUGCCCAGCAAGUUGGAUAGUACACAAAGGACUCUGCUUGGAUCCUUUUAUUGAUGCAGUAGUCCAAGCUGUUAUUUCAGAUGGCCACAGUCCAGAAGGAAUGAAUGUCAGGGCUGUAGGGCUAGGAAGGUUGUUGUGGCUCAGUCUUUCUGGGAGAGCUGUGUCUAGAGGCCCCAGCAUGAGCAAUGAGCUUAAUUAUUGCUGACAGGUCCCAAAUUAACCUGCGGCUGCUGAGAUGAAGAGAAGCACCUGUAGGUUGAGGAGUUUUAUCUUCUGUGCUGAUACCAGGCAACAGAAAAAGAAAUGGAGGAUGUGUGUUGAGCUCUCACAUGCUCAUUUGAUGGUAUAGGAGAUGAAGUUAAAAUCGGUGACUGAAGGUUUCACUGAGCUAUAGGGCAGAGCACCAGGCAGGCAGUGACCACAGUGCACUGGCGUAUAGGGGCUAUGGCUGAUUGUGAGGAAGGAGAAAAGGGACUUGUGCUGAGCAAGAUGCACCUUGGGCAAAAAUUUACAGCUCUAGAUCUUGAAAGAAUUUACCAUUUGCUUCCACAGCUAUAGAUCCCCACUUCAGUGUCUCUGGUACCUUCAGAUUAACCUGAGGAGCUGCCUGCUGCAGCGUAUCCUGCUGCAGGCACCCAUGUGUGCUUAUGGCACCUUAUGGGCAGUAGAAAGGGCAUGUGAGAAGAGAUGUCAAUACCACUCACUACAUGGGACCAGAAAGCUGUGACUUCAACACAGUAAUGUGUGUGGCAGGCGUAUGGGCCCUGAAACUAAAAUUGCCUCUUCUACCCAACUGCACCUAAGAGAAGAAAUUAUAUGUCCAUCCAGAAGCAUCAAGCUGAAUAAUAAUCCUGCUAUCCCCAGCACAGCUUCUUUUUCUAUUGCUUUUCAUUCAUUCAAAUGAAAUUAUUACUCUCUGAAAGUUGAACACUCUUGGUCAGUGGGGAAGGAUGAACUUGGUGUAAGAGCAGAUGGAACCAUUUAUUUCUGCUUGGGUUGGUACUCAUUUCUCUGAAGGCAUCUGGAAGUAUUUUGACACCUGCCCUGAUGCACACACCAUGUUGUAAUAAUAUCAAGCCAUGCUCCAGACUCUCUAAUCACAGUGUUUAUGUAACUGGCACGCUGGGAGGAUGCAGAAGCAGACAUGGGAGCUCCCAGGAACUCAGACAGGCCAUACAGAAGACAGGCUCCAUGUCCAAGGGUGCAGUCUGCCUGCUCAUGUCUUUAUUGAUCCCAGCUUUAAUCGCCAGGACUUGCAUUUCCUCCUUGUCUAUUCCCUCUGUGCUUAUUAAAGGCACUGCUGAGGUUCUUGUACAAACCACUCAGCUAAACGGUGGUGGGCAUCUCUGCCAAUAUACUCAAAUUAGUACUGGUCUCUGUCUGACAUUAGGAGAGAGAGGUAUAAUUAAGAUAAUUACAAGCAAUUCAGUAGCGGACAGGGAGAGCAAACUGUCUUUCACAUGAGAAAAACACACCAUGUUAGCGACUCUGCCCAAACCAUCACAGCACAGUGAAAAAUUGGAGAUCUCCAGCUGGCCCACUGGUGUCUGAUCCCCAGCGCAGCCCAAAGGUGACCCCAGGGAUUGGGUACGCUCCCAGCACACCCCAUGGGGUGGGUGACACGGUGGCUCCUUGCCAGAUAUGGGGUUGUGUUCAUCUGUCUGUGUGCCUGGGUAAGUGAACAACACUUCUCCUAAGCCCCUGAGUGGGUGCUGGUCCUCACUGCAACACAGGGAAGCAGCUGGGAAUUGUGGUUGUUGUAUUUGACUUGAACGACCCUGGUGUGCCUUGUGGCUCUCAGGGUGGGACAGGUAAAUGCUUCAGGACUCACACCCACUUCUUUCCCCUACUACAGGCAUCCUCAAAGCAGUCUGUACUGCAUCCUGCCUGGCUAGACAGCAAAGCUCAGCUCCUCCGGAGAGCUCUAAAGCAGGAGACAGAAAUGCCUGGUGCGCUGCACAGUUCUGCAUUCUCUCUUUUGUGUGUUUCCCACCUGUUCCUCUGUUCAGGUCUGCUGUGACAUCCUCUCUAGGUCAGGAUGGAAGAAACAAUCUGUGUCUUAAAUCACACUUAGACCUCUGUGUCAAGCAGACAUUGCCUGGGACAGAGAAGGGGUUUCACAUCAACAUUUUUGCUGCUGCAUCUGUACUGGAAGGACCUUCUUCAAGGCUGCUGUGUGUCAUCUGCAGGCACCUCUGGUGUUUGGAGCAGUUCCUCCGCCUUGGGGGUUCCACUAUCAGCCAUGGGUUGCCAGGCUGGAGUAGCAGAGCAGGCACAUCGAAAUACACCCAACCAUACAUCCUUAUUACUUGAAUUGAAGGCAUAGACAUGGAUUCUCAUCAUCACAGCCCUGCAAGAAGGGAAAGGCUGGAGUUGCUGGUGUCACUAGCUGGAAAAUCUCUGAGACAGAAGGGAGCAGCAUGCUCUCUCCUGAGGAGUGAAUUGCUCUCUGUCAGUUGUUUGAUGAGAGUCAGGACCCUUGUCACCAAACCACACUGGUGUAUGGCCCAUGCCAUCCCUGCCAUGCACUUCUGCAGGUUGUCGUGUCCUCCCCAGCACAGUGCAGCAGGAAGCCCUGCAGCUCAAAAGUCACUGGUGAUGUUGUUUUGUGCCUGGUUUGUUCCAUGGAAGUGGUUGUGUGCUUGGGCACAUAGAUGUGGAAAUGAUUUUGACUGAAUGCAUGAGUCGAGGACGUCCCCACGUAUAAACAGGCAGAUACUGAGACUCAGAAAGAAGGGGGCUGCAGGAAAAGUGGGAUGUGUAGUAUUCAAUUCUUAUGUCAGAGUAGAGAAUGCAGGAGCCUAAAAACAAUCCAACUGGUGUGGGAAGACUGAUCGAACCAACUGACUUUCUGCUUCUCCCCUCUUUAUCCUCUUGAAGCUUGAGUCUCUGUUUAGGGCUAUGGGCUUCAAUUUACUGGGGGACAGAUUAGGCACUAAGAAAAAUGUGAUGGAAAGCUGGAGGGGCUCUGUGUGCGAAGAUGUUGAGAACAGUCACCAAUGGCCCCAGCAUGGGCACUGGGACCUCUCCACAGCUUUGUUUCCUGUGGUUCUGGUUGCAGCUCAGAUGCACUGAGUCACAUUCCAGUAUUAAUUGGUCCAAAUGAGAAACUAGGUGGGCUCUGUUCUGACCAGCUUGUUUGUUUUCCAUUCUAUGGGCAUCAAUUAUCAAUUUGACAGGGUGUUCUUACAGAGGGGCAAGGUGCUGGGUUCUCUGCUUUCUCAUGUUUUGCUCUGGGGUACCAUGUUCAGGGGCUUCCCUUCAUUGGAGGCUUCCCCAGCUCUUCCUUGUGGCUUUGGGCAAGUGUGUGGUUUGAACUGUGUCAGGAUUCCCAAAACAGAGGUGCUUCUUAAAGUUCUGUUCAAUUCAGCUGUUCUGCCUGUUCUUAUCAAUUUUAGAAAGGAAAAUAAGUGAAAAUCAGUCAAAGCAAAUAGCCAAACAUAAAGCAACUCCUGGAUUGUACAGAGUGUUCUCCACCAUUAGGAAUAGUCUCUUAAAUCUCAGAGCUCGUUACUUUCCUGAUUUAUUCUCCUUCCUAAUCAGUUUCUGUCCCUUUUUGUCUUUGGUGGCUAUUAAUGAGUUUUUCCAUUUCCUUUGUCUGGAUGUGCUGCUGAUUGUGUUACUGCAGUUCAAGAAACAAUAUGAAUUGAGCUGGGUGUGCAAGGUGGGCAGCAGGAGACCAUUAGCACCCACCAUUGAUCUCUGUCUAAAUGUUAAUAUGGUCACCUUUCUGUAUGUCUUUUUCAAGAGGGAGCUGAACUAGGAUUCUGACCAAAACCAGUUCUUAGGGAGGUGAAUCCUGUCUUAGAAUAUUGGCUUUGUUCUGUGAUUCAAGAGGAGCUGAGAGCAGCAGUGAGUGGGAAGGGCUCUCAGCCCCGCUUAGGCAGUUCCCAGCCAGGAUAUGAAUAGGGGGGAAGCCCCUGGGGGCAACAAGUAGCCAGAAAUGCCACUGCUGAGGAAGCUGACAGUUGCAGUGGAUAUUGUUUGAGAGCAGACUGAGGAAGAUGGCUGGGUCCUUUGCUUGGCAGUGCAGCCAGGAGGAGCAACACAGGUAUUACAGGUGGUCCUUGGCUGUGGAGCCCUGGCUGGGGGUGGAAGGGGCUGUGCUCAGGAGCUUUGGCAGAACUGUGAGGCUGUUUCUCAGUAAAUUAAGAUUACUGGUCUUCUAGCACCACUAGUUUGGGAACAGAGGCAGGAGAGAGAUGUGAGAGUUACUAUGGGGACACUUUUCUCAGGCACAAAGCAGCAGGUUGCAAGGGGCUCCCAGCCACUCCUGCUGUCUGUGGUCUUGCAGCCCUUGCUUGACGUGGCAGAAGUGAAAACCCUGGGAAUGCUGUGCUGCAAAGCAGUGCUCACACUGCCCAAGUUCUUAUGCUCACAUGUAGCUAUGCAGUAAGAGAGCCAGGUAAGACAUGCAGCAAAAGAAACAACCCAUUCCUCCUUCUGGGUCUUUGUCUGGUUUGUUUCUAAUUGCUGAGUUCAUAAGUGCCUGAUGGCUAGCAGUCAAGUCUGCUAAUUGCAGGGCUUGCCUGACUGCAAUUUCUCAGUACAUAGGGCUUGAAUUCAUCCAUUCUGCAGAAAAAAAGGUGAACAGCAAACUAUGACAGCAAUCCUGAUGGUAGUAUGUUCACCAGAUUCCCCUCUCUGUGCUGAGACAGAUCCCUCAUUUGACCAUACCUUUCCCUGCACAGAGUAAAAGCAGCUGUUUUUUUUUCCAGGAGUGUAUGAAGAAGGAAAGGUAUAGCAAGAAUAGGGGAAUGGCAGACAUUCUGGGGGUACAGCUGUCUGUCCAGCACUGAGGCUUUGCAGAAGGAGCAAUAGGUGAUACCUACAGAAUACCUGUGGGUUUUCAGCUCUGAUGAAAAUCUCAGUGUUUGGGCAAAUUUGCUUGUGCAACUUCUGCUAGCAGGACAGCAGAUCUAUGCUUCUCAUGCACCCAAGGGAUGUGGAACAGUUCUCUCUGACACGUCCAGAGCUUCCUGAGAGCUGUGUGAACAGAGGAUGUGGGAAACUGGGUCUUCUGUCCCCCCAAACCAAACACCAAGGGAUGGCCUGUGCUGGCUUGUGUGGGAAGUAGGUCUUAACUACCCCUCUUUAAUAAGAGAUUUCAAGGCUCUGUGUGCUGUGCUGGCCACCAGGCUCUGUCACUUCAGCCUACAGCCACUUACUCUGCUUACUCACCUCCCUGCUCCUGCUGGCCAAGCUAUUUCUGAUACAACCCAGGAUGCUGUUGGCCUUCUUGGCUACCUGGGCACAGUGCUGGCUACUUUUCAGCCAUCUGCCUACCAACAGCCCCAGGUCCUUUUCUGCUAGGUAACUUUCCAGCUACUCUUCCCAGUCCAUAUAUAUACAAGUGGCUUUACUCUUCCAUCAGCUCCUUCAGCACUCUUGGGUGGAUCCCAACUGGUCCCAUAGAUCUGUGUGUCCAGUGGUGUGGUAUGCUGUUAAAUACUGUUUCCCUUGGAUUGUAAGGAAUUCAUUCUGUUCCUUGCCUUUGUCUUCCAGUUCAGUGGGUUGAGUACCCCAAGAAAAAUCAGUCUUACUGAUAGUAACUGAGGUAAAGAAGGCAUUCAGUACCUCAGCCUUUUCCUCACUUGACUUCUUCCUUGUCAGUUCAUGUUUCAGCACAGGGGCAGCCUGGUCUGGUGCCUUCAGAAUUUCAUCACUGAAGAAAAUCCUUCUAGGACUCCUUUGCCCUGUAGAACUUCCUCACAAAGGUUUCUGCCAUCCAGGUCUCUAAACAGGCCAAAAUCUGUCCUCCCCGAAGUCUGAAGUAGGACAGUUCUACCAACUGUCCUCCUUGCCACCCCCAAGGAUGGAGAACUCCAUCAUCUCAUUAUCACUGUGCCUCCAACCAUCACAUCACCCACAACAUCUCCCUCUUAACAAACAACAGGCACUUUCCCUAGUCAGUUCUCUGACUACCUGUGUCAGGAAAUCAUGUUAGAUGGGAAGGUGCUGCCUUUGCCUUCCUGAGAUCUUGGGACUGAGCAGGAGCUUACCAGCAGUGCUGGAGGUACCCAGCCUAGGUACACUGAGCUUUUGAAACCCCUGCCUGUGGCUCUUUCUCACAGCUGCAUCUGGCAGCAGAGUUUUUUAUGUGAUGGAUAACACAGCUAGUGGCAUCUGCUAAUGCAUUUCUGGAUCUGGGUUUUCUUCUAGGAACAAAGACUCUUUCCCAUGUCACUCUGUAGCUGAGCUGCAUGGGGAGUGAAGGAUUUCUGCUAGCUUUUGUUUAGGGGAGGCAGGAAAGUAUCUAUCUUCUGCAAAACAAACCAUGUAAAUUUGAUGGGGAAACUUAAUAUUGUUAAAAUCUUUGUGCUUCUUUUGGUGGAAAAACAAAACUAAAACAUAAACAACACAGUUGCUUUAGAUUUAGAUUCCUGCUGGUUUGAGCAUGCCAGGAGCUUUCCAACAGGACUAAUGAGCAAUGAUAGAUGUGCCACAGCUUGAUUAGUUCUUGUCUGGUGGCUUCUGCACAGACAAUUAUUUUUGCCCAGGAAAAGGCUGCUGGUGAGAACGCCCUAGCAGUAAUGUUGCUAAAGAUCUUUGCUAUCAAUCUGAUUCAAGCAGAAGAAAAUCGACCCUGAAUUCCUUAUUGAUGAAGGUGAGGCAAAGAAAGUGCUUCCUGUUGGGACGGGGCAGCUGGAGGCUGUGCAGUUAGCUGCAGAACUGUGCAGAGGGACUUCAGCAAUACUAAUGAAGGAUGGGAUGCAGAGGGUCCACCUUGGAGCUUUAUUCUGAAAAACUCAUAUCUGUUCAUGACCCGAGCUAGAAACAGCAGUCCUUGGUCAUCAGCCAAAGGAGAGGGUGCACUCUGCAUGAGUUACACUGGUUAUCUGUGGUGUAGGCACCAUAGGUGAUAUCAUGUAAAAAGCCUAUCUGGAGCCUCAAAGAAAAAUCACCUCCAGCCAAAAAGACCUUUACAGUUGGUCAGACCAGAAGGACAGAGUUGCUGAAAAUGAAAAUGAAUAAAAAAAUAAAGAAAAAAGUCCUGUGUUGUUGGCAAGGGCACAGCAGGAGUCAAGAACCAGGCUGGAUGAUUCCUUCUCCCUGAGCCAAGGGUUUCCUCUGCCUGGUUUGUUCUUGAGCUGUCUGGUUCUGUUCAUGCACCAGGGAUGCAUCACUGCCAGAGGUGGGAACUAUAAACUUUGGAGUAUCUACUGUUCUGUUGUUUUAUGAGAGCUGUCUGUGUAUUUCUGGGCUGCAGAGAGCUCUCUGCCGUUUGUUUCAGCUGCCUAGCACAGGCACCAGGGGGUUCUUUCCAUGGCAGAAACCAAACCAUAAAGCAGUUUGUUUAUGGCAAUCACCAUUAGCUGAAUUUACUACUGCUGCCAAGAGUAAACCUGGAGAGUCAUGUAUUGGUUUCAAACAGGCUGGAAAUUGUUCUCCAGCUUGUUAAGUCCAACUCUUGUGAAUGAAGAGAAGUUGCCCUGGUGGUAGAGAAGUGGGAAGGAUUGGAGAAUAGUAUGUUCUUUAGAGAGGACAAAAUAAGGCAAUUGGGUGUAGGAGUCCAGACUGUAUCUAAGAAGCUUCCUUAAGAAUCAGGAUGAGGAGUCAUCAG